UGUCAACUCUUUUCCUCUCCGCCGAUGUUGCCAGACCUGCUGAGUUUUUCCAGGUACUACUGCUUUUGUUUUGGAUUUCCAGCAUCCGCAGUUUUUUUGUUUUUAUCUAAAGAGUUGCGGGUCCUAGGUGGGUAACUAUGGAGACAGGACAACUUACCUGGUCUGAUUCUGUUGGUCCUCUUCUUCAAAUAUAAGAGACAAGAAACAUAUUGGUGCAAAUAAUGAUGAGUGCCAAAAAAAAAUCAAUUUGAACAAAGCUAGAUGCAAAGCUUCCAUCUGAUCCAGGACACAGCAACCCUGAAAGAAAUGACACAUCAGCUCCAAGCCAUCGAUAAAACACUUGGUUGAUGUUAAGCCUCAUUGUUUUAUUUUACCACCCAUUCAAAGCUCAUUAAAUCACUGGUUCCUCCCUUU